rnacentral:lncRNA from 1 species
AUGGCCGAGCAGCCUCAGCCACAGCAGAUGAAAACUUCCUUCCUUUUCAUCCAGCUGCAGCCCCCACCAACCCGAGCUACCCAAACUCUCCCCGCCCCUUCUCCAGCAACCGCAGUCGCAACAGCAGCCCCAGGGGGCCUGGAGGAGGGACACAUUUUCCCAAGUCCCAGAACAAGCUUCUUCUCUGCUCCCUGGAACUUCAGAUGUACGCAGGGCUUAGCUACAUCGCCUUCGAGUCUGCUGCCCCGGGAAGGCCCUAGAACACUGAGACCAGCUGCUUUCAAUUGCUACUCGCUGAAGGAAAAGAAGGAAGAAACAGAGAAAUCUCAGAAUCUGCAUGUAAAGAGGAGUGGGGUUUGUGGAUCCCCACAUAGUAGGCAUUGCCUGGUCCCUGCUUCUAGGAAACUUGGCCUACCACAACAACCGCCAUGUAGGCUUGCUAGCCCAGCUCCUACACUGAAUGAUGGAAACAGCAGUCCUUCCAUAGGCUGGAAGCACCAGCCAGUCAUUUCUGCCCACGAGGACCUGUGGGAUAUGGACCCAGAAGCCAGGAAUGUCAUCGAAUUCUCAGUUCCACAAAGCACCCUGUCCUAUGCAGCUGACAGGGGCAAAAGGGUACUUCAGAGGAGAGGGACUGUAAACCAAGAGGUACUCCCAAAGAACUGUGAAGAAGACAUAGGUACCACAGUGCUGGCAACAAGGGCACAGCUCUUCAGAUAUUGCCCAACCAUUCAGAUCAGCCAGAGCUGCCUGGCCCCACCUGCUGCCGUGCCUCUCAAGAAAUUGGGGUUGGUAUUUCUAGUUUCAGAUAUGAGAAUUAAGGUGUGG